AUCUAGCCCCGAUAGAAAUGGUUACCCCGCAGCUUGUGUUGGAGUGUCAGAGGACUUGGGGGGGAUAGCGUUGGCGUGAGGAGUAUGAAUGAAUAGCGGGAAUAAGC
rnacentral:misc_RNA from 1 species